CCUACGGGAGGCAGCAGUGGGGGAUAUUGGACAAUGGGGGAAACCCUGAUCCAGCGACGCCGCGUGAGUGAAGAAGUACGUCGGUAUGUAAAGCUCUAUCAGCAGGGAAGAAAGAAAUGACGGUACUUGAGUAAUAAGCCCCGGCUAACUACGUGCUAGCAGCCGCGGUAAUACGUAGGGGGCAAGCUUUAUCCGGAAUUACGGGGUGGAAAGGGAGCGUAGACUGUAAUGCAAGUCUGGUGUGAAAGGCGGGGGGCCAACCCACGUAGUGCUCUGGAAACUGUGUAACUGGAGUGCAGGAGAGGCAGGCGGAAUUCGUGGUGUAGCGGUGAAAUGCGUAGAUAUUAGGAGGAACACCGGUGGCGAAGGCAGCCUGCUGGACUGUAACUGACGUUGAGGCUCGAAAGCGUGGGGAGCAAACAGGAUUAGAUACCCCUGUAGUC
rnacentral:rRNA from 1 species